CGGGGGUACUCCAGCUAUCUUUCAGACGGCUACGGAGUUGAGAGAGUCCCAUUGAACCUGAUCCGGCCAAUACCGGCGUAGGGAAGCAGAUAUCUC
rnacentral:ncRNA from 1 species